CUUAGGCUGAACAUAGUAACGUGAUUAUGAUUCCUAACCGUACAUAACUAACGAAACGCCACGUCACACUUCAGAUCUACAUCAUCAAACCAAAUGCCACAAUAGCGGCGACGGAUCCACCGACGGCGACUCUAACGGAAGCGGAUUCGCCGCUAGGAGCCAGAGCAGGACCAUCGCCGACGGUAGCAGGUUCGGAAGCGGAGGGGGAAAUAGUAGGAGCGACGGGAGCGGGAGGAGAAUCGAUCGGAGACUCAACCGGAGAUUCGGAAGGUGAGACGGUGGUUGUUGUUGGUGUUGGAGAAGGUGGAGAUGAAACUUGAGGAGGUGAGGCUGGAGCGGGAGUAGGUGUAGCGGUGGGAACUGGAGGAGGAGUGGCGGUGGGAGUUUGAGGAGGAGUGGCGGUGGGAGUUUGAGGAGGAGUGGCUUUUGGUGUAGGUGUAGAUGCCGCCGGAGCCGGUGAUGAUUUGGGUGAGGCGGUGGGAGAGGUAGAAGGUGCUUGACCGAGAGCGCCGGUAGCAAGUAAAACGGUUAGGAAGAAGAAAGCAAUGUUAUGAGAAGACAUGGUUGAUGAUAUAUUAAAAUAUUAUUAUUAUUAUGUGAAUGAAUGAAUGAAUAUUGGUAAUGUGAGAGUGAGAAAGAGAAAGAGAAAGAGAAAAGAGAAAUAGUAUAUUGAUUUUGAAGAGAGGAAAAGGAAGGAAAUGGAA
rnacentral:lncRNA from 1 species